CCGCCACAUAGCCAGUAGCCGGCUUCAUCAUCUUCUCGAGAGCCUUAUGAAUGCCUUGUUAAUAGGUUCUUCCCACCAUUUGGCAGACUCCUGCCUUUGCUUUAUCUGCAAUAAUACCGUGAACCAUUUAGAAACAAACUUACUUCAAAAAAUCUACUUAAUUAGAUCAAAUAAAAUAAAGUGGGUUGAUUACCUGCUACAUGUGUUAGAAAUUAAUAUGUGAUUUUGUCAUUUUUCUGUAGCUCGCAUAAAAACGUAUUUCAUCAUGGAACUUCACAGAGAAGUAGGAUACAUCCAUAUGUAUAUGUGUAAUUGUUUUCAGAAUUUUUUGAAACUUAAAUAUUUGAAUUUCCAUUGGGCAUUUCCGGUGACUAGGUCGUGCAGCCAAGCUAUCUCAAGGACUACCUAAACGCAGAGCACGCAGCGCACACAUUAGACCGUGCCCUCGUACGGCUACAAAGCUAACUGAACAAAACGAACAAGGAGAAACUAAAUAAAGAUAGUUCUCAAGAAGCAAAACAUUCAGCCCUUGAUCCGGUGGACCAGCAUUAACUAAACAAAUACUCCCUCCGUUCAUUUUUAUAAGACGUUUUAGACAUUUAAGACAGCACCUAAAACAAUUCAACUUCAACUGUCUUAAACGACUUACAAAAAUGAACAGAGGGAGUAAUAAUCAUUAGAUUUUCACAACUGUACCAAAACAGUACUAAUUAUUGUGAUUCAAAUGAGUGCUCAAACAUCAAUUUCUUUGUACAGAUAUGCACUAAUGGUAGUAUACAUUAUAUUAGUGGUGCAGCUAGCAAAGGUGUUCUAACUUAUUAACAUGUCUUAACAGCCCAUUUGGUCAAAGGAUGUUAAUGGCGCCAGAGAGGAAAUAUUUCAGUUUCUUCGAUUCGAGAACAACUUGAAGGUCAUCUAUAUUGAUGGUUGGGAUGGAUUCGGGGCGUCCGCCAUUCUUAGAUCCAUAGCAGAAGUGCUCCCAUCUAGGAGAACCACUGCAGAACUAUGCUUUGAUAGAAUAAUUUAUGUAGAUUGCUCUGAGUGGAAAAAUAGAAGAGCAGUGCAGAGGACAAUUGCAGAGGAACUGCAACUUGACCACUCAGUGAUGGCCAUUCUAGAUGAGCAGGAUGAAGAGGAUGAUUUUAACAAAGUUGAUGAAAGCUCAAGGAAUGAGAUACACAAUGUCGGGAAAGUGAUUAAUCAAACCCUGAGGGGCACCAAGUUGAUGAUGAUUUUUCUUAAUGGAAGUGAUGAAGAGGUUGACGUAAGCACCUUUGGCAUUCCUCUUGCAAUAUUUGACAACAAUAUAAUAAUAUGGACCUUUAGCAGAAGGAAUCACGUCCGUUCAAAGGAUGCACUAAGAUAUACUCAUGCUUUCUCUCUUUUCUAUCAUUCUAUCAAAGAAUUUUCAUGGCGGGAGUUUCUUCGACUGUUGUCUCAACAAGCUAUUGCCAUAGUUGCUCGCAAUCCAUUUGUGCCAGAGAUCGACCCAACAAUGGUAGCAGAUUGUUGUCUCUAUGAGUUAUUCCUGCAUUAUAAUUUCCACACUGUCACUGAGUUUAAUUGGGUUGGUCAUGCUUCCAACUUUUGGAUAUGUGAUGCGAUCAUACAAGGGGACAGGGCAAUGGAUAUUAGUAAUCUGUUGCAUAGAGAGAUAAAUUGGGUGUGUGAUUCCUCUUUGCCUGAUGGUGUGCUUGAAGAGUUCAUGCGAGAUUUCGUGACUCCUUUUUGGCUAGUUACAGAUGACUAUGCCUAUGAAGAAGGUCCAUACCGUUGGAUAUCAAUCACAUCAAGCAAAAUGGAUUUGCAAACUAUAUUGAUGCGCAAAGAACAAAGCAAUAUGGAAAUACAGGGCUUGCGAAAUAUACCUGUAGAGACAUCAUCUUUCUUCUUGGCAUUUGAAAGUUCUAGUCAACAACGAUGUUUACCAGAUGGCUUGUUUGAAUGUGCCAACAAGCUUGGUGUGCUAAUUCUCAGUUGCUGUGCCUUCGAUUUUGCAUCACCCCCUUUCCAGAAGUGUCAGAGCCUAAGAUUUCUUGGAUUGAACCAUUGUACAAAUAGUAAAUCAGGUGAAGGAGAGGAUAAUGCAGAGUGGACAUACUUAUGUAACGUAUCGGUGUUGGACCUACGUUACACAGAAUGGAAUGAAAUCUUAUGUGAAGAAAAGAUGGAUCUCAUGACUAACAUCACAGAGCUAAAUAUAGAGGGAGUCUGGAGUGAGCAGUGCGUUGGUAACCUACAAGGUCGACUACCUAACCUCCAGAGGCUACGGAUAACCAAACCAAUAUAUAAGGGGAAGCCAGCAGAGGAUUUUGAUAACUCUUUUGUAGAUAAGACAAGUAUGAAAAUACUCGACUUGUCAGGGAACAGUGACAUGGAAAUUCUUCCAGCAAGCAUAUCGAAGGCAAGUAGCCUUCAGUUGCUUGUACUUGAUGGUUGCAAUGGACUGGAAAGCGUUGGCGGGCUUCCUUCCUCCCUUGAAUCCUUUAGCUUUAAUGGACAUGGGCCAGCUUCUCAAUGGACACAAACUGUUGCGCUACCUCCGGAACAAUUCCGCCCGUCCACAAUUGAAGACUCUAACAUGGAUAUUAGAGUGUCUGAGAUCUCCUUAGCAGGCUGCACACAGUUGAAGAACCUGUUUUUGUGUUGGUUACCCAACCUUGUGGAAUUGGACCUCUCUGGAAUUGCAAUCAAGAUAUUUGACUUGAAUACUAUGGUGGUGCAAGUCCCGAAGCUCAAGAGAGUAUUUCUAAUAGGAUGCACGCGACUUCGUGCAAUAAUUCCGUUGUUGCACGAGAGUGGCUCUGAGAUAAAAAAAGAAUUGGAGUUAUUGUGCAUAGACACCCGAGUUGGAACAGUGUGUUCUCGGCCAUCCAUCAACUGGACCAAAUCCUUCAAGUUCGAAUUGCAUGUUGUUGCCGCGGAUGCGAGGCUUACUCGCUCUGUGAAGGGUCUCUUGUUGCCUUAUGUACAAAAAGGCAUAAUGAAGGAUGUUUCUUGUAAUAUCCAUGUCACCUCCUCAGCUGUGCACACUGAAGUUGUUCAAUUUGAAGCAACCAGCCCAAGUGAUCAAGAGAGUUUGCAACAGCUUAUUCCAGCAGGCCCGUAUAGUGAUGUCCUUGGCAUGGUUGGCAAUCCCCCAAUGCAGGAUUUCCCGCAAGCUCCGACGACUACAAAGCGGGACCAUCAUAUAGAGAUUGCUAAAGGGAGCAGCUAUGUGGAGAGCGAACUGCUAGGAGAUCUAGGUUAUUUGGUGGGAACUAGUGCUGAAUCACUGCAUGUACACGACGUAUCGAUACGUGCAAUUGCUCUUUAUGAGUUUUAUCAGUUAAACCUUAGGUGGUGCUGCGUGGAGAGGUGCCCAGAGUUGGAUGUCGUCUUCCCUUCGGUAUCGACUGGAUUUAAUGUACUGCAGACCUUCUGGGCGUCGGAUCUCCUAACAGCCCGCUGGAUUUGGGGUAAAGCUUCAUACAAGGGUUUCUUUUCCCACACCACCAAUACCUUUCCAAAUUUACAGCACCUCCACCUGCGCUCCUGCCCUCGUCUCCAGUUUGUGCUCCCGCUGUACGGCUUGUCCUUCCCCAGCUUGAAGACCCUCCACUUCAUCCACUGUGGCGACCUCGUGCACGUCUUCGAGCUAAACAUGGAUUACCCAGAGGAAGUAACCACCCUCAGUGUAAGAUUUCCAAAGCUGACCACCAUCCACCUGCACGACCUCCCGAAGCUGCAGCAGAUAUGUGAGAUCAAGAUGGUGGCGCCCGCACUCGAGAGUAUCAAGAUCAGGGGGUGCUGGAACCUGCGCCGGCUUCCAUCCGUGGGCGCCCGUGGCCAAGGCGAGAAGAAGCCGGCGGUUGAGAUCGAGAAGGACGUGUGGGACGCUCUUGAGUGGGACGACGACCACCGCCCCGACCACUUCGGAACGCCGGUCCACUCGCGCUACUACAAGGAGAAGCUGCCCAGGGUCUCCGUUCUGAGGUACGCUAUGUGCAUAUUACAACUGAGUCCAUCUUUGUACAAUUGUACUAGUUCCUGGUUGCAUUCAGUUACUCACCAUUUUGUUUCGCCGUCUCCCACAUCGCCUAGGUGAACUCCGCGCUGAUGUGUCAGUUUCUUCCGUCGCUACAUCAAAACGAUGGAUGGGUGCUCCUGCUUCUGCUGCUGGAUCGAGUGCUUGCUUUGCUUGUGUGCUUUGCUUGGAUUCAUAUUGUGUGGCGUUGUUGCCAAUGCCUGACGUUGGAGCUUAUGGUGGCUCUCACCUUGUGUUAUUCUGUAUUGUGGCUUUCAAAUAAGAGACGGAUAGGUCGGUGCCUGCAUACACUGACCUAACCGAUGUGCGCGCCUGUGUGCGGUUUGCGACUGCAGCGGCUAUGUGUGUGCAUCCGCCAGACUGCAUUUGUGUGUGUAGCUUUAAUGAGUGCUGCUUGCCUAUGUAGCUCUACAUGGCUAGCUGCUUGUGAGUGUGACUAUGCAUUUGAGAGUGUUUGCCAUGUAUUAUUAUCUGAACUUCUGAACCAAAAAGCGGCUCAGCUGGUUGUGUGUGCGCUUGUGCGUGCAUUGACCUGCUAGCUGCUUGUGUAUCUGUUUGCUAUACUUAUGAAAUUUUUUGAAAAAGCAGCAGCUAUCUGUGCUGGUUGUUGCAAUCGCCUGGCUCUCUGUGUGAAUAAUUGGCCCAUCUGUGAAAUCUGUGCAAGUCAAGCAUCCGAGUUAUGGCUAAUUUUUAUUUAUUUCUGAGAAUUGAAAUAGUGGUUUAAAGUAUCGCACCGACACUACUGCAGAUUAUAGUGCUCAUGUGUUUCAAUGAUCUUACUGCUAUUUUUAAACACAAGCUAUUUUUUGGGAGAAGCUCAUUUGACUACGGUUGCAGUUAACUCAACUGAUAGUAAUACACCAUGCUAGUAACUAGCACAGUUCAUCUAAAAAAAGUAAUUAACUAGCACAAUUCAGCAAUAUGGCAACUAUUUACUACUAGGACGUUCAGUCCGAAGGACCGUCAGGUACCUGAUCGGAGCACAUAACCCAUCAGGGCAACUACCCAAAGGAAACAAAGUUGGCGGCACACUCUGAUCUCGCAGACAUCCUACUUCAACCUUGCGGCG
rnacentral:lncRNA from 1 species